rnacentral:rRNA from 1 species
GAUGAACGCUGGCGGCGUGCCUAAUACAUGCAAGUCGAGCGAACAGAUAAGGAGCUUGCUCCUUUGACGUUAGCGGCGGACGGGUGAGUAACACGUGGGUAACCUACCUAUAAGACUGGAAUAACUCCGGGAAACCGGGGCUAAUGCCGGAUAACAUUUAGAACCGCAUGGUUCUAAAGUGAAAGAUGGUUUUGCUAUCACUUAUAGAUGGACCCGCGCCGUAUUAGCUAGUUGGUAAGGUCACGGCUUACGAAGGCAACGAUCCGUAGCCGACCUGAUAGGGUGGUCGGCCACCCUGGAACUGGGCCACGGUCCAGACUCCUACGAGAGGCAGCAGUAGGGUAUCUUCCGCAAUGGUCGAAAGCCUGGCGGAACAACGCCGCGUGAGUGAUGAAGGUCUUCGGAUCGUAAAACUCUGUUAUUAGGGAAGAACAAAUGUGUAAGUAACUGUGCACGUCUUGACGGUACCUAAUCAGAAAGCCACGGCUAACUACGUG